rnacentral:rRNA from 1 species
UACGUAGGCAGCGAGCGUUGUUCGGAGUUACUGGGCGUAAAGGGUGUGUAGGCGGUUUUCUAAGUUUGGUGUGAAAUCUCCCCGGCUCAACCGGGAGGGUGCGCCGAAAACUGGGAGACUAGAGUGCGGGAUGGGAGAGUAGAAUUCCUGGUGUAGCGGUGAAAUGCGUAGAUAUCAGGAGGAAUACCGGUGGUGUAGACGGCUCUCUGGACCGCAACUGACGCUGAGACACGAAAAGCGUGGGUAGCAAACAGG